rnacentral:rRNA from 1 species
AGCGAACGCUGGCGGCAGGCCUAACACAUGCAAGUCGAACGAAGCCUUCGAGCUUAGUGGCGGACGGGUGAGUAACACGUGGGAACGUACCUUUUGGUUCGGAACAACUCAGGGAAACUUGAGCUAAUACCGGAUGAGCCCUUAGGGGGAAAGAUUUAUCGCCGAAAGAGCGGCCCGCGUUAGAUUAGCUAGUUGGUGAGGUAAAGGCUCACCAAGGCUACGAUCUAUAGCUGGUCUGAGAGGAUGAUCAGCCACACUGGGACUGAGACACGGCCGGGUCUCCGUGGGGAGGCGGCAGUUGUGAAUCUUGCAUGAUGGGGGUGAUCCUGAGGCAGCCAUGCCGCGUGAAUGAUGAAGGUCUUAGGAUUGUAAAAUUCUUUUUCCACGGACGAUAAUGGCGGUACCUGGGGAAAAAGCGCCGGCUAACUUCGUGCCAGCCGCCGCCGUAACAC